UACGGAGGGAGCUAGCGUUGUUCGGAAUUACUGGGCGUAAAGCGCACGUAGGCGGCUAUUCAAGUCAGAGGUGAAAGCCCGGGGCUCAACCCCGGAACUGCCUUUGAAACUAGGUAGCUAGAAUCUUGGAGAGGUCAGUGGAAUUCCGAGUGUAGAGGUGAAAUUCGUAGAUAUUCGGAAGAACACCAGUGGCGAAGGCGACUGACUGGACAAGUAUUGACGCUGAGGUGCGAAAGCAUGGGGAGCAAACAGG
rnacentral:rRNA from 1 species